GAAGUACUUCCUCCGUCCGCAAAUAUUUGUCAUCAAAAUGGAUAAAAAGAGAUGUAUCUAGAUGUAUUUUAGUUCUAGAUACUUAUCCAUUUUGAUGACAAUUAUUUUUGGACGGAAAGAUCCC
rnacentral:pre_miRNA from 1 species